UGAAGCACCAGUUCUCAUCCAAUCACUAAAGAUAAGCAAUAUCAAGCCUGGUGAGUAUUUAGAUGGGUGACCACUUGGAAAUACCAGGUGCUGUAA